rnacentral:rRNA from 1 species
UACAGAGGUCUCGAGCGUUAGGCGGAAUCACUGGGCUUAAAGCGUGUGUAGGCGGAGUGCUAAGUACCUUGUGAAAUCCCACGGCUUAACCGUGGAACUGCUUGGUAUACUGGUUCUCUUGAGCAACCUAGGGGCGAGCGGAACAAAUGGUGGAGCGGUGAAAUGCGUAGAUAUCAUUUGGAACGCCAAUGGUGAAAACAGCUCGCUGGGGGUUUGCUGACGCUGAGACACGAAAGCCAGGGGAGCGAACGGG